rnacentral:lncRNA from 1 species
AUAUGAACAAAGAAAUUUCUAAAAAAUUGAUUGCCUUGGGGCUGGGCAGGCACUGAAAAAAAAAAUAUAUACAUAUAUAUAUAUAUAUAUAUAUAUAUACAUAAUAUAAAUCACCUUGACAAAGAUGCAUUAUAGUUAAGGUUGUUAAUACAAGAGGGUCUGGAGCCAGCUCAAGUUUGAAUUUUGAUUCUAUACUAAAGUGACUUAGGAUAAAUGCUAGUUUCAUAUGUCAAAGAGUUUGUGUCUAGGAUGUGGAUGAUAACUAUGUGGUAUAGUCAUAGCACAAUUUUUCCUAUCGCUGUGCAUACACCCUGUAGCAAUGUGAUUUUGCUGUUACCUUCCAUGAAAGGAUGGCCAGUCUAAUCUGAGCUUAACCACAGAAUCUGCUUUUGGCCAGUGAGACAUUAACAAGUGUGAUGUAAACUGAACUUGGAAAGUAUAUGUACGAUGGGACUUGGCCCUCUAUUGCUGGCCUGAAACUACCACAAAAAGAAGCCCAUGAUGACACAAGGCCCAGUCAACUACCAGUCCCAACUUCAGACAUGAAAGUCAGGCCACCUUAGACCAUCUGGUCCCAGGUGAGUCACCAGAUGACUGUGGCUUCAUGAAUUUCCCCCAGGAGACCAACAGAAAAACUGUAGAGCUGAUCUGAACUCAAACUGUUGAUCCACAAAUUCUUAAGUAAAAAAAAUGGCUAUUGUUUUUAAGUCACUAAGUUGCAGUUUGUUCACAGCAAUAACUGGCUGACAUAUAAUGCUAUUUACUUUAUAGGGAUAAUGUGAAAAUUAAAUGAGUUUAUACAUGUAAACAGAUUUUAACAUUUGC